rnacentral:tRNA from 1 species
GCCUGGCUGGGUCAGUCAGUAGAGCAUGAAACUCUUGAUUUCAGGGUUGUGAGUUCAAGCCCCACUUUGGGCA